rnacentral:rRNA from 1 species
CCUACGGGUGGCAGCAGUGAGGAAUAUUGGUCAAUGGGCGCGAGCCUGAACCAGCCAAGUCGCGUGAGGGAAGACGGUCCUAUGGAUUGUAAACCUCUUUUGUCGGGGAGCAAAAGACGCCACGUGUGGCGUUCCGAGAGUACCCGAAGAAAAAGCAUCGGCUAACUCCGUGCCAGCAGCCGCGGUAAUACGGAGGAUGCGAGCGUUAUCCGGAUUUAUUGGGUUUAAAGGGUGCGCAGGCGGAAGAUCAAGUCAGCGGUAAAAUUGAGGGGCUCAACCUCUUCGAGCCGUUGAAACUGGUUGUCUUGAGUGAGCGAGAAGUAUGCGGAAUGCGGGGUGUAGCGGUGAAAUGCAUAGAUAUCACGCAGAACUCCGAUUGCGAAGGCAGCAUACCGGCGCUAAACUGACGCUCAUGCACGAAAGUGUGGGUAUCGAACAGGAUUAGAUACCCCUGUAGUC